rnacentral:lncRNA from 1 species
CCAAAAAUACCGGCCCUGAUAACACUGCGACUGACGAGACCGACGACAACGAUAACACAGACAGAAAGAACACCACUAUUGCAAACACCAGGACAGGCCCCACACCCACACAGAUACGGACGCGACGGCACACACCAGACUGAGACCCGACGAACCCUACUACCGACACCCACCACAUACAUACAGCCACACAGAGACACUCACAAACACACACACCGAUGACCACACACACAA